AACGAACGCUGGCGGCGUGCCUAACACAUGCAAGUCGUGCGAGAAAGUUCCUUCGGGAGCGAGUAAAGCGGCGCACGGGUGAGUAACACGUAGGUAACCUGCCCCCCAGUCUGGAACAACUAGAGGAAAACUCUAGCUAAUGCCGGAUGAGACCACGAUCCCUUCGGGGGUUGCGGGCCAAAAGAUGGCCUCUACUUGUAAGCUAUCGCUGAGGGAUGGGCCUGCGGGCCAUUAGCUUGUUGGUGAGGUAACGGCUCACCAAGGCUGUGAUGGCUAGCUGGUCUGAGAGGAUGACCAGCCACACUGGGACUGAGACACGGCCCAGACUCCUACGGGAGGCAGCAGUGGGGAAUAUUGCGCAAUGGGCGAAAGCCUGACGCAGCGACGCCGCGUGGGUGAUGAAGGCC
rnacentral:rRNA from 1 species